rnacentral:rRNA from 1 species
UACAGAGGUGGCAAGCGUUGUUCGGAAUUACUGGGCGUAAAGCGUGCGCAGGCGGCGCGUUAAGACAGGUGUGAAAGCCCCGAGCUUAACUUGGGAAUUGCGCUUGUGACUGGCGUGCUGGAGUGUGGCAGAGGGAGGUGGAAUUCCACGUGUAGCAGUGAAAUGCGUAGAGAUGUGGAGGAACACCGAUGGCGAAGGCAGCCUCCUGGGCCAGCACUGACGCUCAUGCACGAAAGCGUGGGGAGCAAACAGGAUUAGACGUA